AUGGUUUUCGAAGAUGAAAGCAGUGACGACACCUCUAGCCUGUCAUACAUGCACUCGACCUCAUCCACCGACGGGCUUAACCAUGUCUCUUUCAUCCUUGAAGAUCCUGAUUACCAGGGACUUGAGCUGGAUCUGAUGGUCUUCUAUGAGAAGCACGGCAAGGCAUCGGAGGGGCUUGUUGCCUUUGAAGGAACAGACACAGGCAGAAGGUUCUUAGCAUGUGCAGAGCCGGAAGGGCAGAAUUCUGGGUUUGUUGAAUGGGUUGAUCACCGGUGGCCCCCAACAAUGCAGAAUGCAUUGUUGAAGCUGUGGGCAAUGGUUGAAUAUAGCAAGAGUGCUAGGGUGAAUGAUAAUAUUGAAAGUGCUUUAACUAUUCACCAUCUAAUAGAAGAGAAGAACAAGCUGGAGGCCAACUAUGACAAAAGUGAACUGGUGGCCGAUGUGAAGGCGGAGAUGGCAAAGAAAGAUGCAGAGACCCAGAAGCUUAAUCAGAAGUAUGAACUCAUGGUUAACCUGACAAGGGCUCAAGCAACUGUCAUACAGAACUUGAAGUUGAAGAAUGUGAAAGAGAAGGAAUUGCUGAGUGAAGCUAGGAUGAAAUUGGGGUCUCAGAAUGCGGAGCUCACAAACUCUAAGGAGAAGCUCACCCAAGAGAAGCUAGAGUUGAAGCUUCAGGUUGCUGAUAUGCUUAAGGGAAAGGAAAAGCAUAGUGAAGAGAAGGGUCAGCUAGAGCUUCAGAUUACUGGUCUGGUUAAGGGAAAGGAAAAGCAUAGAGAAGAGAAGGGUCGGCUAGAGCUUCAGAUUGCUGAGCUCAUGAAGGGAGAGGAGAAGCUCAAGCAAAAGGUCAAGGGGAUCUAG
rnacentral:rRNA from 1 species